GAAACCGCAGGGGAGGCGGGUUCCAGGGACCCGCCCCCAGGCUAACAACAACAAUAAUAAUAAUGAUGAUGAGGAUGGAGUUCUGCCUGGGAGUCGGGCAAUGGGCUAAGUAAACCCUUUACAAUAUUCUUUUAUUUAAUCCUUUUAAAUAAUCCUGUUAUUCGCUGUCAUUAUCCCCACUUGGCAGGUAAGUAAACUGAGUCACGGAUUGGAAAACUUGACCAAAUGGUCAGGAUCGGAACCCACUGCUCUCUGACCCUGUAGCCUGGCUGGGCUCUUAACCCUUGGUCUUCAUCCCAGGAGGCUCCCUCCCCAGGGAAGACUGCCUGCUUUCCCCCAGCCCAGAUGUCAGCGCUCCCCGAGACCCUCACCCACAAUCUGACGGAAGGGACUCUCCUCCCCUCCUCCCAGGGCCCAGGCGGUGAGUGUGUCCAGCUGCUGGAGCUCUGGUCAGCAGGGUUAAUGAAUGCUGGACUCAGGCUUCAAGCCAGGCCCAGGCCAGCCUUGCAGAACCCAGCCUGGGGCCUCUGAGGGCCCGUGUUCUGCACCAGAGUGCGUGGCAAAAAUGCCUUUCCUUUCUGGCUAAACCUGCCCGUGCACAUGCGUUUCCACAUCGGCUCAGGGCUUAUGCUGCAAUGUGUGGUGUGAUCAGUGUGUGGGCCCGGGUCGUCUUCCUGCCUAAACUCCUAGCCCCCCCUGUGGGCCCCCCUUCCUGUGCUAGGGCUGGGGUGAGGGGGAGGCCUUCUUGGCGGGAGCCUUAGAGAGGAGGAGGGAAGGAAGGGGGUGAGAGGAAAUUGCAGACAUAGCUGAAGGCGCUGCCUGAGGCCUGUGGGCCAUUGACCCCCCCUCUCUGUCCAGGCUGGAGACCCCCACUCCGGGUCCUGAGACUGGGUUCAAGCAGAGGGCAGAUCUGGAUGGAGAAAGGACUAGGACUGGCUCCCCUGGGCGUGGGAAAGGGACUCCUUUGUGUCUUUGUGGCUGUUUAGUCUGUUUUGUGAGCAUGUGGCACUAUUUCUGCCCAUAUCUGUAUAUUUGCGUGUCUAUUUUCGUGUUGUAUCUGCUUGAACAUUUUUGUGGGGGUGUGUACGUCUGUAUACAGCCGCUAGUCAACAAAUGCUAACCGAGCACCCUGCCCAGCGUUUCCGAUACUGGGGGUUCAGCAGUAAACACAACCUUUGUCUCAUGGAGCUGCCACUAAGGUGGACAGACAGACAAUAUACGAAGAAGAGAAUCUUGGUGCUGCUGAGUGCUCAGAGGCUGAUGGAAUCGGGAAAUGUGAUGGAGAACACCUGGGCAGCUCUCCAGCAGGACAUCUGAGGUAGCUGGGUGCCCAUGGGCUUCUCUUUGAAGCUCUUCCUCCUGAGGACAGUGGAGACCAGGCAGUGGCUACAACUGAUGGAAGCUUCUCAGUUCUUGUUCGACUUCUCAGGACCACAGGAGGCUGUUGAUCACACACACCCUUCUGGCCCUUUCUCCUUCCUUUGCCUCAGGGGCUCACAAUAAAAACUGGUGGAGAGCAAUCUACGCUUUGCUGAAUAAACCGACAGUUCUCACA